AAGGCUAAAUACUCCUGACUGACCGAUAGUGAACCAGUACCGUGAGGGAAAGGCGAAAAGAACCCCGGCGAGGGGAGUGAAAAAGAACCUGAAACCGUGUACGUACAAGCAGUGGGAGCCCCACCACCAAAGCAUUCUCUGGUGUUGAAGGCCCUGCAAAGCAGCAUCGCGGUGGCGGAGCGUCGUUUGCGACGCCCAACACACAAAACAAGCGGUGAGUGCUUUGGGGUGGGGUGACUGCGUACCUUUUGUAUAAUGGGUCAGCGACUUAUAUUCUGUAGCAAGGUUAACCGAAUAGGGGAGCCGGAGGGAAACCGAGUCUUAACCGGGCGUUAAGUUGCAGGGUAUAGACCCGAAACCCGGUGAUCUAGCCAUGGGCAGGUUGAAGGUUGGGUAACACUAACUGGAGGACCGAACCGACUAAUGUUGAAAAAUUAGCGGAUGACCGGUGGCUGGGGGUGAAAGGCCAAUCAAACCGGGAGAUAGCUGGUUCUCCCCGAAAGCUAUUUAGGUAGCGCCUCGUGAAUUCAUCUCCGGGGGUAGAGCACUGUUUCGGCUAGGGGGCCAUCCCGGCU
rnacentral:rRNA from 1 species